UUGCAGUCGAGCGGUAGCACAGAAAGCUUGCUCUCGGGUGACCAGCGGCGGACGGGUGAGUAAUGUCUGGGAAACUGCCUGAUGGAGGGGGAUAAMUACCGGAAACGGUAGCUAAUACCGCAUAAUGUCGCAAGACCGAAAGUGGGGGACCUUCGGGCCUCAUGCCAUCAGAUGUGCCCAGAUGGGAUUAGCUAGUAGGUGGGGUAACGGCUCACCUAGGCGACGAUCCCUAGCUGGUCUGAGAGGAUGACCAACCACACUGGAACUGACACACGGUCCAGACUCCUACGGGAGGCAGCAGUGGGGAAUAUUGCACAAUGGGCGCAAGCCUGAUGCAGCCAUGCCGCGUGUGUGAAGAAGGCCUUCGGGUUGUAAAGCACUUUCAGCGGGGAGGAAGGCGUUGAGGUUAAUAACCUUGUCGAUUGACGUUACCCGCACAAGAAGCACCGGCUAACUCCCUGCCAGCAGCCGCGGUAAUACGGAGGGUGCAAGCGUUAAUCGGAAUUACUGGGCGUAAAGCGCACGCAGGCGGUCUGUCAAGUCGGAUGUAAAAUCCCCGGGCUCAACCUGGGAACUGCAUUCAAAACUGGCAGGCUAGAGUCUUGUAGAGGGGGGUAGAAUUCCAGGUGUAGCGGUGAAAUGCGUAGAGAUCUGGAGGAAUACCGGUGGCGAAGGCGGCCCCCUGGACAAAGACUGACGCUCAGGUGCGAAAGCGUGGGGAGCAAACAGGAUUAGAUACCCUGGUAGUCCACGCCGUAAACGAUGUCGAUUUGGAGGUUGUGCCCUUGAGGCGUGGCUUCCGGAGCUAACGCGUUAAAUCGACCGCCUGGGGAGUACGGCCGCAAGGUUAAAACUCAAAUGAAUUGACGGGGGCCCGCACAAGCGGUGGAGCAUGUGGUUUAAUUCGAUGCAACGCGAAGAACCUUACCUGGUCUUGACAUCCACAGAACUUUCCAGAGAUGGAUUGGUGCCUUCGGGAACUGUGAGACAGGUGCUGCAUGGCUGUCGUCAGCUCGUGUUGUGAAAUGUUGGGUUAAGUCCCGCAACGAGCGCAACCCUUAUCCUUUGUUGCCAGCGGUUAGGCCGGGAACUCAAAGGAGACUGCCAGUGAUAAACUGGAGGAAGGUGGGGAUGACGUCAAGUCAUUAGGUAGCUUAACCUUCGGGAGGGCGCUUAC
rnacentral:rRNA from 1 species